rnacentral:rRNA from 1 species
GACGAACGCUGGCGGCGUGCCUAAUACAUGCAAGUCGAGCGGACCAAAGGGAGCUUGCUCCUGGAGGUUAGCGGCGAACGGGUGAGUAACACGUGGGCAACCUGCCUGUAAGACUGGGAUAACAUCGAGAAAUCGGUGCUAAUACCGGAUAAUAAAAAGAACUGCAUGGUUCUUUUUUGAAAGAUGGUUUCGGCUAUCACUUACAGAUGGGCCCGCGGCGCAUUAGCUAGUUGGUGAGGUAACGGCUCACCAAGGCAACGAUGCGUAGCCGACCUGAGAGGGUGAUCGGCCACACUGGGACUGAGACACGGCCCAGACUCCUACGGGAGGCAGCAGUAGGGAAUCUUCCGCAAUGGACGAAAGUCUGACGGAGCAACGCCGCGUGAGUGAUGAAGGUUUUUCGGAUCGUAAAACUCUGUUGUUAGGGAAGAACAAGUGCCGUUCGAAAGGGCGGCACCUUGACGGUACCUAACGAGAAAGCCACGGCUAACUACGUGCCAGCAGCCGCGGU